CAGUAGCCGCGGGAACACGUAGGGUGCGAGCGUUAAUCGGAAUUGCUGGGCGUAAAGCGUGCGCAGGCGGUUGUGUAAGACAGGUGUGAAAUCCCCGGGCUUAACCUGGGAACUGCGCUUGUGACUGCACAGCUAGAGUAUGGCAGAGGGGGGUGGAAUUCCACGUGUAGCAGUGAAAUGCGUAGAGAUGUGGAGGAACACCGAUGGCGAAGGCAGCCCCCUGGGCCAAUACUGACGCUCAUGCACGAAAGCGUGGGGAGCAAACAGGAUUAGAUACCCCAGUAGUCCCUGUCUCUUAUAC
rnacentral:rRNA from 1 species